rnacentral:rRNA from 1 species
AGCUCCAAUAGCGUAUAUUAAUGUUGUUGCAGUUAAAAAGCUCGUAGUCGGAUUUCAGUUUGCUCAUGUUGGUACCUUUAGGUGCUGUGCAUUAGCUUACUUCAUGACGGAAACAUUCAUGCCAUUCGUUUGGUGUGUUUCGGGACCGUCUCUUUUACUUUGAGAAAAUUAGAGUGUUCAAAGCAGGUCUUCGCCUGAAUAUUACUCUUGGAAUAAUAACUAUAGGACUCCAGUCUUAGUUUGUUGGUGAAUUGGGACCGGAGUAAUGAUUGAUAGGGACGGUUGGGGUGACUCAUACUGCAAAGCGAGAGGUGAAAUUCUUGGACCUUUGUAUGAUGAACAACUGCGAAAGCAUUUCACUAGGACGUUCCCG